UAAGCGGUCUAGUAUAAGCACUCUUGUACCGUGAAACUGCGAAUGGCUCAUUAAAUCAGUUAUCGUUUAUUUGAUAGUACCCUACUACAUGGAUACCUGUGGUAAUUCUAGAGCUAAUACAUGCGCAAAACCCCGACUUCGGAAGGGGUGUAUUUAUUAGAUAAAAAACCAAUGCCCCUCGGGGCUCCUUGGUGAUUCAUAAUAACUUCACGAAUCGCAUGGCCUUGCGCCGGCGAUGGUUCAUUCAAAUUUCUGCCCUAUCAACUUUCGAUGGUAGGAUAGUGGCCUACCAUGGUGGCAACGGGUAACGGGGAAUUAGGGUUCGAUUCCGGAGAGGGAGCCUGAGAAACGGCUACCACAUCCAAGGAAGGCAGCAGGCGCGCAAAUUACCCAAUCCCGAUACGGGGAGGUAGUGACAAUAAAUACUGAUACAGGGCUCUUUUGGGUCUUGUAAUUGGAAUGAGAACAAUCUAAAUCCCUUAACGAGGAACAAUUGGAGGGCAAGUCUGGUGCCAGCAGCCGCGGUAAUUCCAGCUCCAAUAGCGUAUAUUAAAGUUGUUGCAGUUAAAAAGCUCGUAGUUGAACCUUGGGCCCGUCCUGCCGGUCCGCCUCACCGCGAGUACUGGUCCGGAUGGGCCUUUCUUUCUGGGGAAUCCCAUGGCCUUCACUGGCUGUGGCGGGGGAACCAGGACUUUUUACUGUGAAAAAAUUAC
rnacentral:rRNA from 1 species